rnacentral:rRNA from 1 species
GAUGAACGCUGGCGGCGUGCUUAACACAUGCAAGUCGAGCGAGAAGUUUUGAAAAGAUUCUUCGGAUGAAAUUUAAAAUGGAAAGCGGCGGACGGGUGAGUAACGCGUAGGCAACCUGCCCCAUACAAAGGGAUAGCAUUUGGAAACGAAUAUUAAUACCUUAUGAAACUUAACUAGUGCAUGCUAGGUAGGACAAAGAUUUAUCGGUAUGGGAUGGGCCUGCGUCUGAUUAGCUAGUUGGUGAGGUAACGGCUCACCAAGGCGACGAUCAGUAGCCGACCUGAGAGGGUGAACGGCCACAUUGGAACUGAGACACGGUCCAAACUCCUACGGGAGGCAGCAGUGGGGAAUAUUGCACAAUGGGGGAAACCCUGAUGCAGCAACGCCGCGUGAACGAUGAAGGCCUUUGGGUCGUAAAGUUCUGUUCUAGGUGAUGAAAACUGACAGUAACCUAGGAGAAAGCCCCGGCUAACUCCGUG